rnacentral:rRNA from 1 species
GUACACAAAAGCGCAUGUGUUGUGAGCUCGAUGAGUAGGGCGGGACACGUGGUAUCCUGUCUGAAUAUGGGGGGACCAUCCUCCAAGGCUAAAUACUCCUGACUGACCGAUAGUGAACCAGUACCGUGAGGGAAAGGCGAAAAGAACCCCGGCGAGGGGAGUGAAAAAGAACCUGAAACCGUGUACGUACAAGCAGUGGGAGCCCCACCACUAAGCCAGUGGUGAACUCCACAUACGCAUCCUUUGCUGAAGGUGCGGUUAACGGAGCGCAAGCGACGUUCAACCUCAAAAGAAGCAGAGGGGGCUUAGUGGUGGGGUGACUGCGUACC